rnacentral:tRNA from 1 species
GGAGAGGUGGCCGAGCGGCUUAAGGCGCACGCCUGCUAAGCGUGUGGGGGAAACUCCGCGUGGGUUCGAAUCCCACCCUCUCCGCCA